rnacentral:rRNA from 1 species
AUGUGCCCUACUCCAAGGGGCGGGUGGAGUAAAGCCGGGGCACCAGCGCCGUUACCUUAUGGAGUUUUCUUACUUGGUCUUGUUCUGUUACAGCACUUCUCAAAUGCUGGGUUUUCAUGUCCAAUCAUGCAAAGUCCAUCUGACCACUUCGUGAGACCAAUCAAUACAGACUUCGACAGAAUCAUAGCCAUGUGCAAAAAUCUGCAGGAUGAUCAAGGGGAUUUCUCUUCAGUGAGCAUGGACACUGCUGUGGCGAUCCGGACACUAGAAGCAACAUACAAAUCAUCGGCUGAAGCUGCUGCUGUUGAAUCCAUGAUUGCAAAAUUGAUUGACAAGGAAGGUCCUUACUUGAAAAGUAAAGGCAAAAGUGAUGCAGCGAGAAUUGGGAUUCUCACUUGGAGAUCAUUGCGAGUUAUGUCAAGAGAAUGGAAGUACUUCUGGAGCAGGCUUGCCUUGUAUAUGCUGCUUGCCCUGAUCAAGGCCACAGUAUUUAUCGAUAUUGGUCAUUCAUUGUCAUCUGUAGUGGUUAGGAUUUCUGCGAUAUUUGUGUUUGUUUCGUUUCUUGUCCUUCUGAGUGUUUGCAAAGUGCCUGCUCAUAUUGAUGAGAUCAAGAUAUAUUCCCAUGAGGAUUCAAACCGGCAUUAUGGGACAUUGGUUUUCCUACUAGGCCACUUCCUAUCCAGCGUCUCCUUCCUAUUUCUGGUGUCCAUUUCGUCGUCGUUGGUUUUCUACUCCUUGAUUGGCCUCAGGAAUGAGUUCAGCUUCCUUAUGUACUUUAUAAUCACCAUCUUUAUGUGCCUAUUGGCGAACGAAGCGCUCAUGAUGAUUGUUGCGUACAUCUGGCUUGAGACUUACAAGUGCAUCUUAACCUUGAUUUGCUUAUAUGUUAUCAUGAUGCUGGUGGCAGGGUAUUUUCGGAUCAAAGACGCAAUACCAGCGCCCGUGUGGAACUAUCCGAUGUCCUACAUUUCAUUCCAGACAUAUGCCGUCCAGGGCUUGGUCCAGAACGAGUUUGUCAGUACAUCAUUUGCAGUCGGGGCCACGAGGACGAUACCCGGCGUGCAGGCUGUCCGAGGCUUGUAUGGAAUAUCAUCGUCGACGGGUGCCAAGUGGAUGAAUCUCCUUGUUUUGUUCCUGAUGGCGAUCGGCUACCGGGUCGUCUUGUAUGUUUUGCUUCGUCUAGAUGUGAGGAGACAUGUGAGGCUUUGCAGGCGCUCCUGCUGGCCCAGCAUCCAUACCAGUGCAGCUCCAAAGUGA